rnacentral:rRNA from 1 species
UGAACGCUGGCAGCGUGCCUAAUACAUGCAAGUCGAGCGAACAGACGAGGAGCUUGCUCCUCUGACGUUAGCGGCGGACGGGUGAGUAACACGUGGAUAACCUACCUAUAAGACUGGGAUAACUUCGGGAAACCGGAGCUAAUACCGGAUAAUAUAUUGAACCGCAUGGUUCAAUAGUGAAAGACGGUUUUGCUGUCACUUAUAGAUGGAUCCGCGCCGCAUUAGCUAGUUGGUAAGGUAACGGCUUACCAAGGCAACGAUGCGUAGCCGACCUGAGAGGGUGAUCGGCCACACUGGAACUGAGACACGGUCCAGACUCCUACGGGAGGCAGCAGUAGGGAAUCUUCCGCAAUGGGCGAAAGCUUGACGGAGCAACGCCGCGUGAGUGAUGAAGGUCUUCGGAUCGUAAAACUCUGUUAUUAGGGAAGAACAAAUGUGUAAGUAACUAUGCACGUCUUGACGGUACCUAAUCAGAAAGCCACGGCUAACUACGUG